rnacentral:lncRNA from 1 species
UUUUGAUCCUCUGUUUCAUGUUUAAAUUAAAUUCAUUAGCAGCUGUCAAGCCCCAAGGAAAAAUGUCAACACUAAUCAAGACAACAUCUGAAGGUGUCAGUUUUCCUUCAUUUAUCUCCUGUCCCCAGAAGGUACAAAGCCAUCAAAUGAAAAACUCCAGGUUUAAUGAGAUUGGUCAAGUACUAACAGCAGGGAUCCCUGAGAAGUAUAAAGGCAACAGUGGAGUCACAGGCUAUGAGACGAAUGGGAGAGAAACAGCAUGAGGAGAAAGUCAGCUGAAUCAAAAUAUAGGUCUGACCUAUUUCAAUUUCUGCCCAAGAUGGCCUUCAUAGCAUGCCUGUUAUAUUAAAGCUUGGAUUAUUUGUAAAGAGAAG